rnacentral:rRNA from 1 species
GAUGAACGCUGGCGGCGUGCCUAAUACAUGCAAGUCGAGCGAACAGACGAUGAGCUUGCGCCUUUGACGUUAGCGGCUGGCGGGCGAGUAACACGUGGAUAACAUACCUAUUAUUCUGGGAGAACUUCGGCAAACCGGUUCUAAUACCGGAUAAUAUAUUGAACCGGAUGGUUCAAUAGUUAAAGACGGCUUUUGUGUCACUAAUAGAUGGAUCCGCGCCGCAUUAGCUAGUUGGUAAGGUAACGGCCUACCAAGGCGACGAUGCGUAGCCGACCUGAGAGGGUGAUCGGCCACACUGGAACUGAGACACGGUCCAGACUCCUACGGGAGGCAGCAGUAGGGAAUCUUGCGCAAUGGGCGGAAGCCUGACGCAGCAACGCCGCGUGGGUGAUGAAGGCCUUCGGAUCGUAAAGCUCUGUUAUUAGGGAAGAAAAAAUGUGUAUGUAUCUCUGGCUGUUUUGACGGUACCUAAUGAGAAAGCCCCGGCUAACUACGUG